rnacentral:rRNA from 1 species
GAUCAAGCGCGAGAAGGGCGUUUGGUGGAUGCCUUGGCAGCAAGAGGCGAUGAAGGACGUGAUACUCUGCGAUAAGCCGUGAGGAGCUGAGAAUAAGCUUUGAUCCGCGGAUUUCCGAAUGGGGCAACCCAACUGACAGUGACCUAUUAUCUACUUCGGUAGUUAAUAGGCUGCUGAAACAGUUACUUAUUACCUGAAUACAUAGGGUUUUAAGAGCAAACCCGGGGAACUGAAACAUCUAAGUACCCGGAGGAAAGGAAAGUAAUAACUACUCCCCUAGUAGUGGCGAGCGAACGGGGACCAGCCGAGCAACGUAGUGAACUGGAAGGACCUGGGAAGGUCCGCCAUAGAGGGUGACAGCCCCGUACAGGUAGCGAAGUUGACGUAUUAAGUAGGGCGGGACACGUGAAAUCCUGUCUGAAGAUCGGAGGACCACCUUCGAAGGCUAAGUACUCCUUGCUGACCGAUAGCGAACCAGUACCGUGAGGGAAAGGUGAAAAGCACCCCGACGAGGGGAGUGAAACAGUACCUGAAACCGAACGCCUACAAUCAGUCGGAGCUUGACUGGACUCUUAUGACAAUCUGACGCAAUUCUGCUUCCCGACACAGGGAGAUGGCAGAAUGGCUGACGGGACUUUCGCAGUAUUGAUGUUCAUCGCGGGUUUCUUCGAUGCACAGGCCAAUUACUGCGGGACAGAGGUUGGUUGCCUGGGAAAGACCGAUCGGACGCCGCGACUGGCGUUCUCGGCAGGGCAAUCGAUAGAGCGGCGCGCGCCGCAGCAGAGCGAGAUCUACUUCCGCUAUGACCUGGGACACAAACGUGGUCCUUUCGGUCAAUCGGCGGGUUUCUCGGUCGGCGAGCAGGGAGAGGUCUGGAUCGGUUACGGAUCCACAUGGACCUACGAAUUCAGCCCCCGGCUCUACGCCGAGCUGCAUUCGAUGCCCGGAAUAUACCUCGACAACGGCGGAUUUGACCUUGGCGGACCGAUCGAGUUCCGCUCGGGCAUCGAAUUCGGCUACGAAAACCGGAUGGGAUGGCGGUAUGCGCUGAGUUACGACCACAGGUCGAACGCGGGCAUCUACGACAAGAACCCCGGCAUCGAAACCGUUCAGUUUCGGGUCAGUAUUCCACUGAAAUGAUUGUUAUAAGUGUCCAGUCUUGUGACGGCGUACCUUUUGUAUAAUGGGUCAUCGACUUGGUCUAUCUAGCAAGCCUAAGCCAUUAGGUGUAAGCGCAGCGAAAGCGAGUCUGAAUAGGGCGACGAGUUAGAUGGAUCAGACCCGAAACCGAGUGAUCUAGGCAUGUCCAGGAUGAAGGUAAGGUAACACUUACUGGAGGUCCGAACCCACACCUGUUGAAAAAGGUCGGGAUGAGGUGUGCCUAGGGGUGAAAGGCCAAUCAAACUCGGAGAUAGCUGGUUCUCUGCGAAAUCUAUUUAGGUAGAGCGUCAUCCGAAUACCCCGGGGGGUAGAGCACUGGAUGGGUAAUGGGGCCCCACAGGCUUACUGAUCCUAACCAAACUCCGAAUACCCGGGAGUACUAGAUGGCAGACACACUGCGGGUGCUAACGCCCGUAGUGGAGAGGGAAACAACCCUGACCUCCAGCUAAGGCCCCUAAUUCAUGGCUAAGUGGGAAAGCAGGUGAGACGUCCAAAACAACCAGGAGGUUGGCUUAGAAGCAGCCAUCCUUUAAAGAUAGCGUAACAGCUCACUGGUCUAAUCAAGAUGUCUUGCGGCGAAGAUGUAACGGGGCUCAAGCCAUGAGCCGAAGCUGAGGACGCGAGAGCGUGGUAGCAGAGCGUAGUGUGAUAUAGUCUCAUUCCUCCUUAGCGGGUUCGCCCGCAUUGGAGGAGAGAGGCUUUCGAUGAAGCCGGGGCGUGAGCCAUCCGGUGGAGAGAUCACUAGUGAGAAUGAUGACAUGAGUAGCGACAAGGAGUGUGAGAGACACUCCCGCCGAAAGUCCAAGGGUUCCUGCUUAAAGCUAAUCUGAGCAGGGUAAGCCGACCCCUAAGGCGAGGCCGAAAGGCGUAGUCGAUGGGAAUCCGGUUAAUAUUCCGGAGCCAGGAAGAUGUGACGGAUCAUGAAGGUAGUUCAUCCUUAUCGGAUUGAAUGGGCUGCUGAUUGGUCCCUGGAAAUAGCCUUCCAUUAGAUCGUACCCUAAACCGACACAGGUGGACUGGUAGAGAAUACCAAGGCGCUUGAGAGAACGACGUUGAAGGAACUCGGCAAAAUACCUCCGUAAGUUCGCGAGAAGGAGGCCCGGGUUCUAGGCAACUAGAGCUUGGGGGCACAAACCAGGGGGUGGCGACUGUUUACUAAAAACACAGGGCUCUGCGAAGUCGCAAGACGACGUAUAGGGUCUGACGCCUGCCCGGUGCCUGAAGGUUAAAAGGAGGGGUGAGAGCUCCGAAUUGAAGCCCAGGUAAACGGCGGCCGUAACUAUAACGGUCCUAAGGUAGCGAAAUUCCUUGUCGGGUAAGUUCCGACCUGCACGAAUGGCGUAACGACUUCCCCGCUGUCUCCAACGUCGACUCAGCGAAAUUGAAUUGCCUGUCAAGAUGCAGGCUUCCCGCGGUUAGACGGAAAGACCCCGUGCACCUUUACUACAGCUUCACAUUGGCAUCAGGCCAUGCAUGUGCAGGAUAGGUGGUAGGCUUUGAAACGUGGACGCCAGUCUGCGUGGAGCCUCCCUUGAGAUACCACCCUUGCAUUGCUUGAUGUCUAACCGCGACCCCUUAUCGGGGCCCGGGACCCUGUGUGGCGGGUAGUUUGACUGGGGCGGUCGCCUCCCAAAGAGUAACGGAGGCGUGCGAAGGUUGGCUCAGAGCGGUCGGAAAUCGCUCGUUGAGUGCAAUGGCAGAAGCCAGCCUGACUGCGAGACUGACAAGUCGAGCAGAGUCGAAAGACGGCCAUAGUGAUCCGGUGGUCCCGAGUGGAAGGGCCAUCGCUCAACGGAUAAAAGGUACGCCGGGGAUAACAGGCUGAUACUGCCCAAGAGUCCAUAUCGACGGCAGUGUUUGGCACCUCGAUGUCGGCUCAUCUCAUCCUGGGGCUGGAGCAGGUCCCAAGGGUACGGCUGUUCGCCGUUUAAAGAGGUACGUGAGCUGGGUUUAGAACGUCGUGAGACAGUUCGGUCCCUAUCUGCCGUGGGUGUAGGAUACUUGAGAGGAGUUGCCCCUAGUACGAGAGGACCGGGGUGAACGAUCCACUGGUGGACCUGUUGUCGUGCCAACGGCAGUGCAGGGUAGCUAUGAUCGGACAGGAUAACCGCUGAAGGCAUCUAAGCGGGAAGCCCCCCUCAAAACAAGGUAUCCCUGAGGACCGUGGUAGACCACCACGUCGAUAGGCCGGAGAUGUAAGCGCAGUAAUGCGUUCAGUUGACCGGUACUAAUUGUCCGAUAGGCUUGAUUUG